rnacentral:rRNA from 1 species
AUGCAUGACGAAAUGGGCAGAUCGUUGCUUCUGUGCGUCAACGAUGCCAAUGUUGCACUGAGUCAUCCACCUGGUGGUGUAUUAUCUGAGAGGACUCUUAGGAGCAUGAUGGAGAAGUUCAAGAAGCGGUUCCAUAAGAUGGCAGCAAUGCUUUCUUGUCAUGGUGCUCAGUCCAGUGACGUGUAUGCACCUGGUACCCGCGCCAGAGCUAAUAGACGGCGUUAUAUCCAGAACGAUGAGGACAUGGAGGAGGAGGUCCAUGAAGAGGAGCCAUCACAUCAAGAGGAGCCAACACAAGAUGAGGAGCAUGAGUAUGAUGCAACACAUCAAGAGGAUCAUGAGUAUGAUGUUGAUGCUCCACAACCAUCACAGGUUACACAACCGACACAAGGCAAUGCUCGCUCUAGGAAAGGCAAAGCCAUAGCUAAGACACCAGGCAAGAAAGGUAGAAAGAAGACAUGGAACACACAAUUCCAUAGUCUGGAGUAUCCUCAUUAG